rnacentral:misc_RNA from 1 species
GUGAAUCAUCGAAUUUUUGAACGCAAAUUGCACUCUCGGGUAUUCCGAAGAGGAUGCCUGUUUGAGGGUCAGUUUAAAUAAAAAUCGGUGUGGUUGCUGCCUUUCGUGGUGACGCACCGGAUGUGGGUCUUCUUGCCUUCUGUUAAGUGACCUAGAAUUUUCCAUGAUUUUUUCGAACGUAUUUAAAUGAUUUUACGUACGUUUGCGAUGUCUAA